UGAACGCUGGCGGCGUGCUAACACAUGCAAGUCGAACGCGAACGGGGCUUCGGCCCCAAGUAGAGUGGCGCACGGGUGAGUAACGCGUGGACAAUCUGCCCUUAUGACUGGAAUAACAGUUGGAAACGGCUGCUAAUACCGGAUACGCUCAGGAAGAACUUUUUGAGGAAAGGCGGCCUCUGCUUGCAAGCUGUCGCAUAAGGAUGAGUCCGCGUCCCAUUAGCUAGUUGGCGGGGUAACGGCCCACCAAGGCAACGAUGGGUAGCCGAUUUGAGAGGAUGAUCGGCCACACUGGGACUGAAACACGGCCCAGACUCCUACGGGAGGCAGCAGUGGGGAAUAUUGCGCAAUGGGCGAAAGCCUGACGCAGCGACGCCGCGUGAGGGAUGAAGGUUUUCGGAAUCGUAAACCUCUGUCAGAAGGGAAGAAACUGCCGUGCUCUAAUCAUCAUGGCAUUGACGGUACCUUCAAAGGAAGCACCGGCUAACUCCGUGCCAGCAGCUGC
rnacentral:rRNA from 1 species